AAGAUACAGGUGCUUCCGAGUUCCCAGAUUGUUGUAAAAGUUUACGCUUGGUAACUCGAGCGACAAUACGCUUAUCUUUGUGAGUCACACUUCCUAAAUCCUCAAUAUCAGUAACUUUUGUGUUGUUUAUUGUGGAUGGAUUUGUAGGGGCUAAGGAGAAAAUGGAAUCGAUCUUUUUCUGUUGGUAUUUAGAAUUCAAGACAGCAACUCGUUUUUGAAGCCAGUCCGGCAA